UUUCCUUUAAGUAUUUUCUCAUCCAGUAAAGAAAUCUGUUACCAACUUCAUGUCUGGUACGUCCUGCAUCAAAGGACUGAAAUAUUAAACUCAUUUUUUGCUCAAGAUAGGGUGCUAAGAGCAUGCUCUACUUCUGUCGCAGCAUGCUUCCUCACUUUCGAACUCUCGUAAGGUGGUCGAUGCAUCGUCU